rnacentral:snoRNA from 1 species
UCUGCUUCAUCAAUUUUGGAUCUACACUGUAUAUCUUUAUAUGACGGUGUGGUAUUUUGAAAUGAAGCUUCAGAGGAAAUUGUUCCUCUCGAUAUCGAUUGCUACCUCCAUGGAGUGUUUGGACGUUGGAGAACAACGUUU